GAGGGUAUAGCUCAAGUGGUAGAGGGCGUGCCUAGCGUGCACGAAGUCCUGGGUUCGAUCCCUAGUACCCCCU
rnacentral:tRNA from 1 species